AUAGAAUCCACCUGUGAUUUCAUUUAUGAAAAAAUUAAUCUGAAUAAAAUUACAGACAAAUUUUCUCCAAAUUAUGCGAUGAUGUUUCGGCAAGGCCCAGAAAAUGCAUUUUAUUUAGUAAAAUUUUGGGUAUAUGACUAAAAAUGGAAUAAACAAAGCUAGAUUAACUUCAAUGUGGAAUUAGAUGCGAUUUAUUCAAAAUUUUUAUGGAAUAUGACGCUUAUUGGAUCGGAUAAUAUGAACAUUGAGGUUAUUACAAAAGUCUAUUCUCUUGGCAAUGAAAUGGCGUCUUCUAGAUCA